GCACACUGCGCCUCCGACUCGAGGGGUAGUUUUCAACGCGACGAUCGAUACCCAGCGACCAAAAUCAAUCUGUCUCUCUCAAACCAACAUGCUUUUUCUGCAAGCAGCUGCGUGUCGCUAGACUUACGCCCAUGCACCGUCUAAUCGCAACCCCUUACGGGAUCAGCCACGCAUUUUUGUCGCUUGCGAAGGCAGCAAAGAAAAGUGGCGCUGAGGGUCGUGGAAACGAAGCGAAGAAUAGUGUUCAUUUUGACUCGAUUCAUUAAUUCCACGCAUAGUAAUGUUAGGUAUAAAUUAGAUUAGGUUAUGUUUGAUUGCUUGUAAAACAAACAAAGUAGAAAGACAUUGGAAAUAAUAGGUAGAAAACAAAAAACGAUGUUUCUGUGGAAUUAAUAGAGUAAUACUGGAUAAAAAUUAGAUUAGGUUAGGUUUGACCCUUUGUGAAAUAAGCAAAAUAGGAAAGUAACAUUGAAGAUUGCAUAGGUAAGGUAGGUAAGUUACACGAAUAAACAUAUUAACAGUAUCUAUUUACAUUGUAUUUUUAAAAUCAUUGCCAAUCAGUCCCGUAUUAACAUUUAGGUUUAAGCAGGAAAUUCUGUUUGUAAGUCUUGGGAUUAUACAGAAUAAAAACACUAUGUGAAGUAUUGUAUUCCGAACCAUUGUUCAUUAAAAAUCGUUUAAUCUUUUGGCAAUAAUAGUUGAAAGACGAAAAUUGAUGAAUAAAGAAACUAAAACAAACAUGAUGAUAAUGGAAAUAACUUACAUAUAUUAUCACGAAAAAUAUAGACUAAGCCACUUAGAUGAAGAUAGUAUAUAGUGUGUAAGAUGUGUUUAAUAAACAUAUUGGACAUAUGACAA